rnacentral:rRNA from 1 species
GGUUAAGCGACUAAGCGUACACGGUGGAUGCCCCGGCAGUCAGAGGCGAUGAAGGGCGUGCUAAUCUGCGAUAAGCGCCGGUAAGGUGAUAUGAACCGUUAUAACCGGCGAUACCCGAAUGGGGAAACCCAGUGUGAUUCGUCACACUAUCAUUAACUGAAUCCAUAGGUUAAUGAGGCGAACCGGGGGAACUGAAACAUCUAAGUACCCCGAGGAAAAGAAAUCAACCGAGAUUCCCCCAGUAGCGGCGAGCGAACGGGGAGGAGCCCAGAGCCUGAAUCAGCAUGUGUGUUAGUGGAAGCGUCUGGAAAGGCGCGCGAUACAGGGUGACAGCCCCGUACACAAAAGCGCAUGUGCUGUGAGCUCGAUGAGUAGGGCGGGACACGUGGUAUCCUGUCUGAAUAUGGGGGGACCAUCCUCCAAGGCUAAAUACUCCUGACUGACCGAUAGUGAACCAGUACCGUGAGGGAAAGGCGAAAAGAACCCCGGCGAGGGGAGUGAAAAAGAACCUGAAACCGUGUACGUACAAGCAGUGGGAGCACCCUUCGGGGUGUGACUGCGUACCUUUUGUAUAAUGGGUCAGCGACUUAUAUUCUGUAGCAAGGUUAACCGUAUAGGGGAGCCGGAGGGAAACCGAGUCUUAACCGGGCGUUAAGUUGCAGGGUAUAGACCCGAAACCCGGUGAUCUAGCCAUGGGCAGGUUGAAGGUUGGGUAACACUAACUGGAGGACCGAACCGACUAAUGUUGAAAAAUUAGCGGAUGACCUGUGGCUGGGGGUGAAAGGCCAAUCAAACCGGGAGAUAGCUGGUUCUCCCCGAAAGCUAUUUAGGUAGCGCCUCGUGAAUUCAUCUCCGGGGGUAGAGCACUGUUUCGGCUAGGGGGCCAUCCCGGCUUACCAACCCGAUGCAAACUGCGAAUACCGGAGAAUGUUAUCACGGGAGACACACGGCGGGUGCUAACGUCCGUCGUGAAGAGGGAAACAACCCAGACCGCCAGCUAAGGUCCCAAAGUCAUGGUUAAGUGGGAAACGAUGUGGGAAGGCCCAGACAGCCGGGAUGUUGGCUUAGAAGCAGCCAUCAUUUAAAGAAAGCGUAAUAGCUCACUGGUCGAGUCGGCCUGCGCGGAAGAUGUAACGGGGCUAAACCAUGCACCGAAGCUGCGGCAGCGAACGUAUCACCCAAGACAACUUUACGGAGUUGACGAUUGACGGAGCGAAGCGACGUCAAAGCGUUCAUUAAAGUCGAGUUGGCUUAGGGAUACGUUCGUUGGGUAGGGGAGCGUUCUGUAAGCCUGUGAAGGUGUGUCGUGAGGCAUGCUGGAGGUAUCAGAAGUGCGAAUGCUGACAUAAGUAACGAUAAAGCGGGUGAAAAGCCCGCUCGCCGGAAGACCAAGGGUUCCUGUCCAACGUUAAUCGGGGCAGGGUGAGUCGACCCCUAAGGCGAGGCCGAAAGGCGUAGUCGAUGGGAAACGGGUUAAUAUUCCCGUACUUGGUGUUACUGCGAAGGGGGGACGGAGAAGGCUAUGUUGGCCGGGCGACGGUUGUCCCGGUUUAAGCGUGUAGGUGUGUGUUCCGGGUAAAUCCGGUUCACUUUAACACUGAGGCGUGACGACGAGGCACUACGGUGCUGAAGCAACAAAUGCCCUGCUUCCGGGAAAAGCCUCUAAGCAUCAGGUAACAUCAAAUCGUACCCCAAACCGACACAGGUGGUCAGGUAGAGAAUACCAAGGCGCUUGAGAGAACUCGGGUGAAGGAACUAGGCAAAAUGGUGCCGUAACUUCGGGAGAAGGCACGCUGACACGUAGGUGAAGUGAUUUACUCAUGGAGCUGAAGUCAGUCGAAGAUACCAGCUGGCUGCAACUGUUUAUUAAAAACACAGCACUGUGCAAACACGAAAGUGGACGUAUACGGUGUGACGCCUGCCCGGUGCCGGAAGGUUAAUUGAUGGGGUCAGCGCAAGCGAAGCUCCUGAUCGAAGCCCCGGUAAACGGCGGCCGUAACUAUAACGGUCCUAAGGUAGCGAAAUUCCUUGUCGGGUAAGUUCCGACCUGCACGAAUGGCGUAAUGAUGGCCGGGCUGUCUCCACCCGAGACUCAGUGAAAUUGAACUCGCUGUGAAGAUGCAGUGUACCCGCGGCAAGACGGAAAGACCCCGUGAACCUUUACUAUAGCUUGACACUGAACAUUGAGCCUUGAUGUGUAGGAUAGGUGGGAGGCUUUGAAGUGUGGACGCCAGUCUGCAUGGAGCCGACCUUGAAAUACCACCCUUUAAUGUUUGAUGUUCUAACGUGGACCCGUAAUCCGGGUUGCGGACAGUGUCUGGUGGGUAGUUUGACUGGGGCGGUCUCCUCCUAAAGAGUAACGGAGGAGCACGAAGGUUGGCUAAUCCUGGUCGGACAUCAGGAGGUUAGUGCAAUGGCAUAAGCCAGCUUGACUGCGAGCGUGACGGCGCGAGCAGGUGCGAAAGCAGGUCAUAGUGAUCCGGUGGUUCUGAAUGGAAGGGCCAUCGCUCAACGGAUAAAAGGUACUCCGGGGAUAACAGGCUGAUACCGCCCAAGAGUUCAUAUCGACGGCGGUGUUUGGCACCUCGAUGUCGGCUCAUCACAUCCUGGGGCUGAAGUAGGUCCCAAGGGUAUGGCUGUUCGCCAUUUAAAGUGGUACGCGAGCUGGGUUUAGAACGUCGUGAGACAGUUCGGUCCCUAUCUGCCGUGGGCGCUGGAGAACUGAGGGGGCUGCUCCUAGUACGAGAGGACCGGAGUGGACGCAUCACUGGUGUUCGGGUUGUCAUGCCAAUGGCACUGCCCGGUAGCUAAAUGCGGAAGAGAUAAGUGCUGAAAGCAUCUAAGCACGAAACUUGCCCCGAGAUGAGUUCUCCCUGAGACUUUAGGUCUCCUGAAGGAACGUUGAAGACGACGACGUUGAUAGGCCGGGUGUGUAAGCGCAGCGAUGCGUUGAGCUAACCGGUACUAAUGAACCGUGAGGCUUAACCUU